rnacentral:rRNA from 1 species
GAUGAACGCUGGCGGCGUGCCUAAUACAUGCAAGUCGAGCGAACUGAUUAGAAGCUUGCUUCUAUGACGUUAGCGGCGGACGGGUGAGUAACACGUGGGCAACCUGCCUGUAAGGCUGGGAUAACUUCGGGAAACCGAAGCUAAUACCGGAUAGGAUCUUCUCCUUCAUGGGAGAUGAUUGAAAGAUGGUUUCGGCUAUC